rnacentral:lncRNA from 1 species
ACAACUUGUUCCACCCACGCUGCCCUGCCCAGAUCUCACAGAGUUAUGACCGCCUCGUUGCAGUCCGUUCCUAAGUUAGCUGUUCCUUUGCUGGGGUCUGAAGCCCAGACCACUCACUCUGGGAGAAAGCAACUGCUAUGUCAUGAGGAAAUUGAAACCACCUAUGGAGAAAGGCCCACAUGGUGAGAAAGUAAAGCCUCUUCCCAAUACCAAAAUUCUGUAAGUCUGCUACGGUGACAUUUCUGGUUAGGAGUCAGAGUGGAUGGGACACUGAGCAAUAAGAAUGCAGAGACAUGAUGGCUGAAGCUGGAGCUUUUCCCUGAAGCAACCACCUGUUGGAAACUUCAUGUUGAAGAUGACUGAGUAAUAAGACAGAGGGGUCUGGGUCCCUGGUGGAUAUUCCAGAUCUGGGUGUUCGUGGAGAUAUGAGAAAGCAAUAAACUUCAAUUUUGCUUAAAUAGCUGUUACUUGGGGCAUUCUGUCAUUUACGGACAAAUCUGACCUGGAUUAAUACACCUCCGCUGGGUACCAAGACUGAUCUAAUAGUCAAAAAGGUUUCAUUCCAUCUAGAUAUUUC